rnacentral:rRNA from 1 species
CCUACGGGUGGCAGCAGUAGGGAAUAUUGCUCAAUGGGGGAAACCCUGAAGCAGCAACGCCGCGUGGAGGAUGAAGGUUUUCGGAUUGUAAACUCCUUUUGUUAGAGAAGAUAAUGACGGUAUCUAACGAAUAAGCACCGGCUAACUCCGUGCCAGCAGCCGCGGUAAUACGGCGGGUGCAAGCGUUACUCGGAAUCACUGAGCGUAAAGAGCGCGUAGGCGGGAUAGCAAGUCAGAUGUGAAAUCCUAUGGCUUAACCAUAGAACUGCAUUUGAAACUGUUAUUCUAGAGUAUGGGAGAGGUAUGUGGAAUUCUUGGUGUAGGGGUAAAAUGCGUAGAGAUCAAGAGGAAUACUCAUUGCGAAGGCGACCUGCUAGAACAUAACUGACGCUGAUGCGCGAAAGCGUGGGGAGCAAACAGGAUUAGAUACCCCGGUAGUC